UCUCCAGAAGCUGCUGUGGCUUCUGCCCAAAAGCAGAAGGAGCCGGACCCUUGCUUUUAAAAGCCAGAAGCCAGGAAAUCACUGUGGCGGGUGUUACUGUAGAUUAAUGAAAUUUUGAUAAUAUCGGUCUCUAUCCUCCAUUGGUUGAGGCAAUUACUUGAUUGCCAUGAAACCCGUCUUGAUAGAUGAUGCCGCAGCAAUCUCUCUCCCUCUGAUCACAGACGCCCCAUCAAUCUCUCUCCCUCUGACGCCGCCUCAUCUAGCCUUUCAUCACGAUUUUGGGUUGGAAAUCGAAGCCUCACUCAAGCAAGGCUGCUUGGCGAUUUGAUUCAGCUGGUAUUAAUUCAGAGUCAUUGGGAAAUCAAGCGGAAUACCAAGCAACGCAGCAAGUUAUAUUAUCAUUCAUCAUGCAAAACUUAGCUAGGAAAUUUGAAAAUUGAAAUGUAUGAAUGCAAUAAUUAUGUUCCUUAAAUUCAGUAUUUGAUAAAUUGAUGUAUCACAAGGCUUUUGGUACAAAUAUUGAUCAUGGUUUGCAUUCAAUUUGAUUUCCAAUUGAUUA